rnacentral:lncRNA from 1 species
GGACAGGGACACGAUGGGAUGUGGCAGGAGGAGAGAUGGGGCGACACAAGUGAAGAGCACGGAGACAGAGAUGGAAAGAUCAAAGGCAGAGCACAAGGGGUCUGUGCCACAGAGGAGACAGAAGCAGAGGAGCAGAGAGAGUGGAUUCAGACAGAAAGAGACGGAGGAGUCAGACGGACAGGUUCCGAGGGGACAGUAGGAGAAUGCAGAGAUCCACAGUAGAGGGCCACAGUGGCUGGGUCCGAGUCCCAGCGUCAGUACAGAGCAUUCGAUGACAGAGAUGAAGAAGCAGAGGCAGAGCGGAGGGCAACGGAGGGCUCUGUGACGAAGGUGCUGGAGACAGAAGCAAAAGGCACUGCAACAUGCGACGGGAAUUCAGCUCGGUGGUUCCGCCACCUGCCUCAAAAGCACAAGGUCCCGAAUUUGAUCCCUGGUACCCCUGCAAAAAGCACCAAGUCAUCCAGCUGGCAGAACAAGAUAAAUAAAUUCCGCCUUCCCUAUUCCAUGGAGCUGAAACUGGGUGUACAGUCAACGUGGAAAUGGGAGACGGGAAACGCCACUGAUAGACCCUUCUUCGAGUCCAGACUGACGCCGUGCGGGGCAGCGUGAGAGAACAGAAGGGUCGGCUAGUGAUGCCUAACG